rnacentral:rRNA from 1 species
UGGGAAUAUUGCACAAUGGGCGCAAGCCUGAUGCAGCAACGCCGCGUGAGGGACGACGGCCUUCGGGUUGUAAACCUCUUUUAGUAGGGAAGAAGCGAAAGUGACGGUACCUGCAGAAAAAGCACCGGCUAACUACGUGCCAGCAGCCGCGGUAAUACGUAGGGUGCGAGCGUUGUCCGGAAUUAUUGGGCGUAAAGAGCUCGUAGGCGGUCUGUCGCGUCUGCUGUGAAAACCCGAGGCUCAACCUCGGGCCUGCAGUGGGUACGGGCAGACUAGAUGCGGUAGGGGAGAAUGGAAUUCCUGGUGUAGCGGUGGAAUGCGCAGAUAUCAGGAGGAACACCGAUGGCGAAGGCAGUUCUCUGGGCCGUAACUGACGCUGAGGAGCGAAAGCGUGGGGAGCGAACAGGAUUAGAUACCCUGGUAGUCCACGCCGUAAACGUUGGGCGCUAGAUGUGGGGACCAUUCCACGGUUUCCGUGUCGCAGCUAACGCAUUAAGCGCCCCGCCUGGGGAGUACGGCCGCAAGGCUAAAACUUAAAUGAAUUGACGGGGUCAUAGCUG